UAGGGAAUAUUGGGCAAUGGCCGCGAGGCUGACCCAGCCAUGCCGCGUGCAGGAAGAAGGCCUUCUGGGUUGUAAACUGCUUUUGUCGGGGAAGAAAACGCCCCUGCGGGGGUAACUGACGGUACCCGACGAAUAAGCACCGGCUAACUCCGUGCCAGCAGCCGCGGUAAUACGGAGGGUGCAAGCGUUGUCCGGAUUUAUUGGGUUUAAAGGGUGCGUAGGCGGCCCGUUAAGUCAGCGGUGAAAUCCCGGGGCUCAACCCCGGAACUGCCGUUGAUACUGGCGGGCUUGAGUUCGGUCGAGGCGGGCGGAACUGGCGGUGUAGCGGUGAAAUGCUUAGAUACCGCCAAGAACCCCGAUUGCGUAGGCAGCUCGCUUGGCCGAAACUGACGCUGAGGCACGAAAGCGUGGGGAGCGAACAGG
rnacentral:rRNA from 1 species